UACCCACAAGCUGAGUUGAGAUGAGUUUCAAUCAAGCCAAUCCAGCUCUCUUACCCAGGACUGUUGGGCCACAAUGCAGCAGGAAGAAGUCUAGCCCAGAAGAAGUCUGCCACCCUUAUUAGAUAGGCUUGCAGUGGCGUUAGGGUCAUGUGCUUCUCCUGAAAUAUGGUUCUCUUUGAAUUUCUUUGUGCUUCGUCUCAGAGUGUCUUCUUCUUCAUCAGAACGUUUCAAGUUUUCUCUCACCACCUUUCCAAAAGUGACUUGUUUCACAACUUUAACGCUGUUUGAUAGUCUGUGUAAAAAAAUAAGGGUUAAAAGAAAAUUAAAAAAAAAAAAAUGCUUGCAACUAAAAACAAACCAGCGGCACAGAGAAAGGAGAGGAGAAAAAAAAAAAAAACGCUUGCGAUACAGAGGAGACAGAAUUCGUACGGCUGGCCAUUACCAUUCCUUUCCAGACUUAGACCCCACCGCAACCGGCACCGGUAACCUAAAGGUGCAUGCAGGAAUUGAGAUACGGAGAUAGAGAGAGGCAGAUUCAGAGAAAUAGAGAGACAGUCCAUCAGAUCCGUAUCCUCCACCGCGGCUUAGGACAGGUGUAUGUUAGGCAACAUCAACAACAACAACUAUGGCAGGAAGUCAACUUCAGCAGCAACAUCACAAGUGUCGCUUGAUGACUCUUAACAUAUUCUAUAUUGAUUUAUGAUGGCUGAACCAAUGAUCAUGGUUGGUGGCAAUAAUGCUCAACUUAAGUUGCUGCAUAACUGAUGUUGGUGCUGCUGCUGGAGGCUUAAAUAGCUCCAUAAUUGCUGGUGUUGUUGUUGGAGGCGUGAUGGAUGCUUUGAUUGAUUUGAAUGAGAACCUUGAAGCCAAAUACAUCUUGGGCUAGGAAGUAGUAAAGGAGUUUCUGUUUUGGUUCAUCAUGUGGAGAGAGACACCAAAGAUGCUUGGGAGGCCUAUAGAAACAUGUGUUUGACAUGCUACCUCCUGUGCUUUUCGGUGGUUUUACUUAUAAUUUUUCUUUUGAUAUGCAAACUAACCCCAAUUCAUAGGAAUUGCUUAAAAUCGUUAUUACCUUUUUGUUCUCUAGGUUGCCGGAUAACUCUUUGUUUUAGCUUUAUUUGAAGGGGAAAAAAAGUUAAAAUAUUUAUCUUUGAGAGUUUUCCUUUGAAUUAUUUUCUCAAUUGAUGAUAAAGAUUGGUGGGGAGAUAUUUCUAAGAAAGGGGCUCUGCCUUGGCAAAUAACAGCUGUGAUGGAAGACAUCUGAGACUUGCUGGCUUAGUGAAGACAUUUAUAUUUUGUACAUAGAAAUUUGUUGGCAAAAGAAAAGUCUUAGAUGCAUUUUUUUGGGACAAUAACUGCAGUGCAUAGUAGUUUUUCUAUCUUCAAGAUUUAUGGAAAGCUUACAGAAAUGUUCAAAGGGCUUAAAAAGGUUUGUAAUAUUGUAUGCAAUA